rnacentral:rRNA from 1 species
CUCCAGACUCCUACGGGAGGCAGCAGUGGGGAAUAUUGCACAAUGGGGGAAACCCUGAUGCAGCGACGCCGCGUGAGCGAUGAAGUAUUUCGGUAUGUAAAGCUCUAUCAGCAGGGAAGAAGAUGACGGUACCUGACUAAGAAGCCCUGGCUAACUACGUGCCAGCAGCCGCGGUAAUACGUAGGGGGCAAGCGUUAUCCGGAUUUACUGGGUGUAAAGGGAGCGUAGACGGCGAUGCAAGCCAGAUGUGAAAGCCCGGGGCUCAACCCCGGGACUGCAUUUGGAACUGUGUGGCUGGAGUGUCGGAGAGGCAGGCGGAAUUCCUAGUGUAGCGGUGAAAUGCGUAGAUAUUAGGAGGAACACCAGUGGCGAAGGCGGCCUGCUGGACGAUGACUGACGUUGAGGCUCGAAAGCGUGGGGAGCAAACAGGAUUAGAUACCCGUGUA